UACGUAGGGUGCGAGCGUUGUCCGGAAUUACUGGGCGUAAAGAGCUCGUAGGUGGUUUGUCGCGUUGUUCGUGAAAACUCACAGCUUAACUGUGGGCGUGCGGGCGAUACGGGCAGACUGGAGUACUGCAGGGGAGACUGGAAUUCCUGGUGUAGCGGUGGAAUGCGCAGAUAUCAGGAGGAACACCGGUGGCGAAGGCGGGUCUCUGGGCCGAUACUGACGCUGGAGGAGCGAAAGCCGUGGGGAGCGAACAGG
rnacentral:rRNA from 1 species